AAGAAGAAUCUGUUAAGCUCAGGAGGGAUAGCGCCAUGGGUGCCAUGAAUAUGGGAAUGAUCUAGGGUUUCAUGAUAAAUAAUGGGCACUGGCGCUAUCCAUCCUGAGUUUCAUGGCUUCUUCUU
rfam:Citrus sinensis cultivar Ridge Pineapple sweet orange scaffold00042_contig_77, whole genome shotgun sequence.